rnacentral:rRNA from 1 species
GAUUAACGCUGGCGGCGUGCCUAACACAUGCAAGUCGAGCGGCAGCGAGUUUUACACUGAAUUCUGGAAGCUUCUAGUUGAAAGAGAAGAUUUAUUCAAGAAUUUUGUGUAAAAUGUCGGCGAGCGGCGGACGGCUGAGUAACGCGUGGGAACGUACCCCAAAGUGAGGGAUAACGCAUCGAAAGGUGUGCUAAUACCGCAUAUGGUCUUCGGAUUAAAGCCUUCGGGCGCUUUGGGAACGGCCUGCGUAAGAUUAGAUAGUUGGUGGGGUAAUGGCCUACCAAGUCGACGAUCUUUAACUGGUUUGAGAGGAUGAUCAGUCAGACUGGAACUGAGACACGGUCCAGACUCCUACGGGAGGCAGCAGUGAGGAAUCUUCCACAAUGGGCGAAAGCCUGAUGGAGCAACGCCGCGUGCAGGAUGAAGGCCUUCGGGUUGUAAACUGCUUUUAUAAGUGAGGAUUAUGACAGUAACUUAUGAAUAAGGAUCGGCUAACUACGUGCCAGCAGCCGCGGUCAUACGUAGGAUCCGAGCGUUAUCCGGAGUGACUGGGCGUAAAGAGUUGCGUAGGUGGUUCAAUAAGCGAAUAGUGAAAAGCUGGUGGCUCAACCAUUCAGAUUAUUAUUCGAACUGUUGAACUCGAGAGCAGAAGAGGUAGCUGGGAUUUCUAGUGUAGGAGUGAAAUCCGUAGAUAUUAGAAGGAACACCGAUGGCGUAGGCAGGCUACUGGGCUGUUUCUGACACUGAGGCACGAAAGCGUGGGGAGCGAACCGGAUUAGAUACCCGGGUAGUCCACGCCGUAAACGAUGGAUACUAGCUGCUUGGGGUAUCGACCCCCUGAGUAGCGAAGCUAACGCGUUAAGUAUCCCGCCUGUGGAGUACGAUCGCAAGAUUAAAACAUAAAGGAAUUGACGGGGACCCGCACAAGCGGUGGAUCAUGUUCUUUAAUUCGAUGAUAACCGAUAAACCUUACCAGGUCUUGACAUCCUUGGAAUCUUUCAGAAAUGAGAGAGUGCUUUUUAAGAGCCAAGUGACAGGUGAUGCAUGGCCGUCGUCAGCUCGUGUCGUGAGAUGUUUGGUCAAGUCCAUCAACGAGCGCAACCCUUGUCAGUAGUUGUAUUUUUCUACUGAGACUGCCCCGGUAACGGGGAGGAAGGAGGGGAUGACGUCAGGUCAGUAUUUCCCUUACGUCCUGGGCUAGAAACGUGAUACAAUGGCUAGUACAAUGCGCAGCGAAGCCGCGAGGUGAAGCAAAUCGCAUCAAAGCUAGUCCCAGUUCGGAUUGUAGGCUGAAACUCGCCUGCAUGAAGUCGGAAUCGCUAGUAAUCGCAGAUCAGCAUGCUGCGGUGAAUACGUUCCCGGGUCU